UACGAAGGGGGCUAGCGUUGCUCGGAAUCACUGGGUUUAAAGGGUGCGUAGGCGGGUAAGUAAGUCCGUGGUGAAAUCUCUGAGCUUAACUCAGAAACUGCCGUGGAUACUAUUUGCCUUGAAUAUUGUGGAGGUGAGCGGAAUAUGUCAUGUAGCGGUGAAAUGCUUAGAUAUGACAUAGAACACCAAUUGCGAAGGCAGCUCACUACACAAUCAUUGACGCUGAGGCACGAAAGCGUGGGGAUCAAACAGG
rnacentral:rRNA from 1 species